UACGUAGGGUGCGAGCGUUGUCCGGAAUUAUUGGGCGUAAAGAGCUCGUAGGCGGUGUGUCGCGUCGGUCGUGAAAACUUGGGGCUUAACCCUGAGCUUGCGGUCGAUACGGGCAUCACUGGAGUUCGGCAGGGGAGACUGGAAUUCCUGGUGUAGCGGUGAAAUGCGCAGAUAUCAGGAGGAACACCGGUGGCGAAGGCGGGUCUCUGGGCCGAUAUUGACGCUGAGGAGCGAAAGCGUGGGGAGCAAACAGG
rnacentral:rRNA from 1 species